GGGUCGGUAGCUCAGUUGGUAGAGCAGCGGACUCUUAAUCCGUUUGUCGAGGGUUCGACCCCCUCCCGGCCCACCA
rnacentral:tRNA from 1 species